UGUUAGUUCAUUGUCAAUUGUUGGUCCAUGUUAGUUGUUUCCAGAGUCGGUAUUUCCUCCUGACUCAUGGUUUUCUCCUUGUGGAUUUUUGGCUGGACUUUUGGAAAAACAGGAGAGACACACUAAUGAAAUCUGAGGACGCACACGAAGCGAGGAGCCGAAGAGAAACUAGUCACCAGGGGAGAAAUGAUUGGCGAGAAUGUUCUUAAUGAUGCCAUGGCCUCCAGGGAAGAUUACAGCAUCAAAGCUGUUGACGUCCAGCUUGGACAGAUCCUGCAUUUGCAUCAUUCCUUGGCCGUGACUGAAGCGAGCAGCCUCCAUCAUCAUGUUCCUAUGUGACGGCCAGAAAUAAUCAUAAAUACUACGCAUGGAAUUAGUCAAGUCUGGUGUACAAGAAUACAAAUUAAAACACGUCACUGGA